UUGAACGCUGGCGGCAGGCCUAACACAUGCAAGUCGAACGGUAACAGGAAGCAGCUUGCUGCUUUGCUGACGAGUGGCGGACGGGUGAGUAAUGUCUGGGAAACUGCCUGAUGGAGGGGGAUAACUACUGGAAACGGUAGCUAAUACCGCAUAACGUCGCAAGACCAAAGAGGGGGACCUUCGGGCCUCUUGCCAUCGGAUGUGCCCAGAUGGGAUUAGCUAGUAGGUGGGGUAAAGGCUCACCUAGGCGACGAUCCCUAGCUGGUCUGAGAGGAUGACCAGCCACACUGGAACUGAGACACGGUCCAGACUCCUACGGGAGGCAGCAGUGGGGAAUAUUGCACAAUGGGCGCAAGCCUGAUGCAGCCAUGCCGCGUGUAUGAAGAAGGCCUUCGGGUUGUAAAGUACUUUCAGCGGGGAGGAAGGGAGUAAAGUUAAUACCUUUGCUCAUUGACGUUACCCGCAGAAGAAGCACCGGCUAACUCCGUGCCAGCAGCCGCGGUAAUACGGAGGGUGCAAGUGUUAAUCGGAAUUACUGGGCGUAAAGCGCACGCAGGCGGUUUGUUAAGUCAGAUGUGAAAUCCCCGGGCUCAACCUGGGAACUGCAUCUGAUACUGGCAAGCUUGAGUCUCGUAGAGGGGGGUAGAAUUCCAGGUGUAGCGGUGAAAUGCGUAGAGAUCUGGAGGAAUACCGGUGGCGAAGGCGGCCCCCUGGACGAAGACUGACGCUCAGGUGCGAAAGCGUGGGGAGCAAACAGGAUUAGAUACCCUGGUAGUCCACGCCGUAAACGAUGUCGACUUGGAGGUUGUGCCCUUGAGGCGUGGCUUCCGGAGCUAACGCGUUAAGUCGACCGCCUGGGGAGUACGGCCGCAAGGUUAAAACUCAAAUGAAUUGACGGGGGCCCGCACAAGCGGUGGAGCAUGUGGUUUAAUUCGAUGCAACGCGAAGAACCUUACCUGGUCUUGACAUCCACGGAAGUUUUCAGAGAUGAGAAUGUGCCUUCGGGAACCGUGAGACAGGUGCUGCAUGGCUGUCGUCAGCUCGUGUUGUGAAAUGUUGGGUUAAGUCCCGCAACGAGCGCAACCCUUAUCCUUUGUUGCCAGCGGUCCGGCCGGGAACUCAAAGGAGACUGCCAGUGAUAAACUGGAGGAAGGUGGGGAUGACGUCAAGUCAUCAUGGCCCUUACGACCAGGGCUACACACGUGCUACAAUGGCGCAUACAAAGAGAAGCGACCUCGCGAGAGCAAGCGGACCUCAUAAAGUGCGUCGUAGUCCGGAUUGGAGUCUGCAACUCGACUCCAUGAAGUCGGAAUCGCUAGUAAUCGUGGAUCAGAAUGCCACGGUGAAUACGUUCCCGGGCCUUGUACACACCGCCCGUCACACCAUGGGAGUGGGUUGCAAAAGAAGUAGGUAGCUUAACCUUCGGGAGGGCGCUUACCACUUUGUGAUUCAUGACUGGGGUG
rnacentral:rRNA from 1 species